rnacentral:rRNA from 1 species
CUACGGGCCGCUGCAGUGAGGAAUAUUGGUCAAUGGGCGAGAGCCUGAACCAGCCAUGCCGCGUGAAGGAUGACUGCCCUAUGGGUUGUAAACUUCUUUUCUAUAGGGAUAAAAAGCGGAACGUGUUCUGCCUUGCAGGUACUAUAGGAAUAAGCACCGGCUAACUCCGUGCCAGCAGCCGCGGUAAUACGGAGGGUGCGGGCGUUAUCCGGAUUUAUUGGGUUUAAAGGGUGCGUAGGCGGUCUUAUAAGUCAGUGGUGAAAUUCUGUGACUCAACCAUAGAAGUGCCAUUGAAACUGUAGGACUUGAAUUUAUUUGAGGUAUGCGGAAUGUGUAAUGUAGCGGUGAAAUGCUUAGAUAUUACACAGAACACCGAUUGCGAAGGCAGCAUACUAAGAUAACAUUGACGCUGACGCACGAAAGCGUGGGUAGCGAACAGGAUUAGAUACCCCGGUAGUC